GUCGUGAGAUGUUGGGUUAAGUCCCGCAACGAGCGCAACCCUUGUCCCUAGUUGCUACGCAAGGGCACUCUAGGGAGACUGCCGGUGACAAACCGGAGGAAGGUGGGGAUGACGUCAAGUCCUCAUGGCCCUUAUGGGUAGGGCUUCACACGUCAUACAAUGGCCGGUACAGAGGGUUGCCAAAGCGCGAGCUGGAGCCAAUCCCUUGAAAGCCGGUCGUAGUCCGGAUUGCAGUCUGCAACUCGACUGCAUGAAGUCGGAAUCGCUAGUAAUCGCGGAUCAGCAUGCCGCGGUGAAUACGUUCCCGGGUCUUGUACACACCGCCCGUCACACCAUGGGAGUGGGGUGAACCAGAAGUAGGUAGGCUAACCGCAAGGGGGCCGCUUACCACGGUCUGCUUCAUGACUGGGGUGAAGUCGUAACAAGGUAGCCGUAUCGGAAGGUGCGGCUGGAUCACCUCCUUUCUCGGCAUCGCGCGCGCGCUAAGCGCGUCGCUGAAGCGUAGUGCCCACGCCUAUCGGUUGCUAGUGAUGCGAGCUUGAGACAAGCGGGCCUGUAGCUCAGUUGGUUAGAGCACCGUCUUGAUAAGGCGGGGGUCGAUGGUUCGAAUCCAUCCAGACCCACCACUUUCAGCGGUUAGCUUCAGCCGUCAGCUGUCAGCGAAACCGAUGCACUUGGCGGGUGGUUGCUGACUGCUGAUCGCUGAGUGCAGACAGCUGAAAAGGGGGCUGUAGCUCAGUUGGGAGAGCGCCUGCUUUGCAAGCAGGAGGCCGUCGGUUCGAUCCCGUCCAGCUCCACCAUUCAGGAGUCAGUUGGCAGUAGUCCGUUGACAGUAGGCGCGCUUGGCGGCGCAUGCGCCCUGCUGUUCGUCGAUACAGUAUCCAGAAGUCAGUUGAUCGUUGCGCGGUGUUGAUACUGGCAACUGUCAACUGACUUCUGGUCUCUGACCAGUAUCGGUUGCUCUUUAACAAUCCGGAAGAAGUAAAGCGAAGUCUUGCUCGAGACAAUUGCAAGGACGCGACCUCGUGUUGCGCUCUUGGAGUUCUCUCCUCGAGUGAGAUUUGGGUUUGAUUGUAUCGAUCUGUGCUCUUUCUAGUCGGGAGGGCACGGACUACGCAAACACCUUGGAUGGUUGGUGCUGCCGCAGUGAGGGCAGUGCCGAGCGUUAUGGGGUCAAGCGACUAAGUGCAUGUGGUGGAUGCCUUGGCGAUCACAGGCGACGAAGGACGUGGCAGCCUGCGAAAAGCUGCGGGGAGCUGGCAAACGAGCAUUGAUCCGCAGAUGU
rnacentral:sRNA from 1 species